GCUAAAGAUGAUCUGACUCAAAUGUUAGAUUGAGAGAUAAACCAAUGGGUCGACAAGAUGUCUGCUUUCCAAGUCAAGCUGUUAUAUGUAACUAAUGUUGAAUAUGGUGACUGUGAAAUUUUAAACAAAAAUGGAUUCCGUUGUUUAAUUCUGCUCUCUUUUGCCAUCUUUUAUUUUCAUCAUUCUAGUCUCAUCUUCUUCUUCUUCAUCACCAUGAUCAUCUUAUUCUUGGCAGCAAACACAGACUUUGUUUGUUGAAGUGUAUUAAAUGUUUACAGUUAGAGAGGUUAAAAAUAAAACUUGAAACAACGAUGAAAAGUAAAAGUCCUCAUCACCCAAGUUGUAAACUCUAAUUUAAGCUGUCAGCUUACCAAUCAAUCCUCGUUCAGCUUGACUUUCAAUUUUGGGUAAAAGUGUUUUUAAUUACAUCAUUUAUUUCCACUGGUUAUUUAUAGGCUUCAAACAUGGUGAAAUGAAAAUUAACUGGUCUGUUGGCAAAAACUUGGAUAAUCCGUUUGAUUUUCAUGCUUCCUACUCGAUGUCAGUUUUAAUUAAUGAAUCAAACCCAUUCCAAAGUCACUCAAUUGACUAACUCAUAUGAAGAUUUGGAUACAAAGACUUUAUUAUUUCCAGCACCAUCAUGUUCUGUCUGUCAUGUUUAACCAGAGAAGCAACAGAUUAUUGGAAAUGGCAUCGGAUACCUGCGAAAUUUUAUUAUGUUGUUUAUAUUGCUGCCUAACAUCUUUAACAUUCUCGCAUUGGACAUCCUUUGGUUGGAGAUUAAGACGGUUAAAUAAUGUUGGAGUAAUUAACUGUGGAAAGUGAAUCAAGGCUAGAAACUGUGGAAAAAAUGAGGUGAUCAUUGAAUCAGAAACAAGAAUUUGGCUCAAUUAAGCGAUUAAUUAAGCGAUGCUUUGCAAUUAUUUCAAUUGAUUCUCUCCAUUUCAAUUAGCAUUAUCUAAGAAGACCAGAUUUCGCUUCAAGCUAUUGCCUAAAUAUGAUAAGAUUAUUACAUUGAAUGAAUAUUCAUCCUUGAUUAUUUAUUUUCUUCUUGUGGUCCUUUCCUUUUACAUUGAAACCAACGUACAGACGAAAUAAGUUUCGCCUAAUACAAUUUAGUUUCAUUAUUGUUAGAAGGUAAAUGAUUCUGUGAUAUAAUCUGAAAACAAGAUAACCUUAAUCAUGGCCUCCAAAAUAAAUUUUGAUUAACUCUCCUUUUCUCACUGAAAAAAUCAUCUUAAAGCAAAAAUUUCACCAGUUCCUUAUUCAUUGAUCCACUUUCACUGUUGGUUCUUUCAACUCAGCAAUCAGUUACCAUAACUUCUUGAUCAACCAAAGAUUUUUAUUGUAAACUUUCCCUGCAAUUUAAAAUCAAAAAAGUGCUAAACCCUUGCCGUUUGUGACCUGCUUGAUCAAAAUCAAUAAUGAAUAUAUUUUGUGAUACAUUUUGGAAUAUUUUAUCAAUUCUAUGUUUCUUUAUUCGAUUCAAGAUCAACUACUAAAUCAAUAAUUGUGAUUGUCAGCUCUAAAUAAAUUCAUUCAACAAGAAAAAGGCCGUUGAUUGUGAAAAACCAAAGCAAGAAAAGUAAAAAUGAUUCAUUUUGGUAUGAUCAUUGACUUUUUUCAACGCAACAUGAUUCUCAUCUUUCUCGAUUUCCUAUUAACCUUCAUUUACAUUGGCCUGUUCAAAAUUGUCAACAAUUCAAAUGUUCGCCUGACAUCUAAUAAUUCGUGAAAUAAGACGGAAAAUCAGUAUCGAAAUGGUCGACAAAAGUAAGCCCGAUUUACAAAGAAAAUCAAGUCACCGCCAGUACAUAUUCAAAUCAUUGACCCAUUUUGUACAAUUUAAUGUUAAUAUUAAUUUUUGAUUAUCCUUUUUACAGAUUCACUGACAGCUGAAUUUGAUAAAAAUCUGUAAUAAAAUAUUUAGUAUCCAUUGUAUCCUCUCAUGCUUAAAACCACAUCUUUCAAUAAUGUUCACAAAUUUAUGGAUUUCCAAAUGAAUAACCAUGUCUGCUGUUUGCUCAUCUCAUGGCUUGAUUCAGCUUAAUACAGAGAUCCUUUUGUUACCAGUCUUUUGACCUUUCGAUCACCUUGUCUCAAGCCAGUUGAAGGUUAAUUAUCGUUCUCUAAGGCAAUUUAAGGGAUAAAGGAAUGGCAAAUUGCUUCCAUUUAUCGUGGUAUAAGGAAGUGAAUAUUUUGGAAAGUUGGUCAUGGUUAUAGAGACGCGCAACAAUCAGGAAGGAUGGAUGUAAUACCGGUUGUCUAUCAGAAUUUGAUCAUUGAAAAAUGAAUGGGAAUAUCCAUAUUGGAAGACUGUUGACACACCCAGGACUGUAAGGACACUUGUAAAAAUGUAACGAAAUGGAUAAUCUACAUGCAAAUUCUCAUUCUAAUCUUAAUAAAGAAGCUUUAGCCUUCUAUUUGAA